UACGGGGGGAGCAAGCGUUGUUCGGAAUCAUUGGGCGUAAAGCGCGCGCAGGCGGAUUGAUAAGUCAGGUGUGAAAUCUCGGGGCUCAACCUCGAAACUGCGCCUGAAACUAUUAGUCUAGAAUGUCGGAGGGGGCAGGGGAAUUUCACGUGUAGGGGUAAAAUCCGUAGAGAUGUGAAGGAACACCGGAGGCGAAGGCGCCUGCCUGGACGACUAUUGACGCUGAGGCGCGAAAGCGUGGGGAGCAAAUAGG
rnacentral:rRNA from 1 species